rnacentral:rRNA from 1 species
CCUACAGGCUGCACCAGUGGGGAAUAUUGCACAAUGGGCGCAAGCCUGAUGCCGCCAUGCCGCGUGUAUGAAGAAGGCCUUCGGGUUGUAAAGUACUUUCAGCGGGGAGGAAGGUGUUGUGGUUAAUAACCGCAGCAAUUGACGUUACCCGCAGAAGAAGCACCGGCUAACUCCGUGCCAGCAGCCGCGGUAAUACGGAGGGUGCAAGCGUUAAUCGGAAUUACUGGGCAUAAAGCGCACGCAGGCGGUCUGUCAAGUCGGAUGUGAAAUCCCCGGGCUCAACCUGGGAACUGCAUUCGAAACUGGCAGGCUAGAGUCUUGUAGAGGGGGGUAGAAUUCCAGGUGUAGCGGUGAAAUGCGUAGAGAUCUGGAGGAAUACCGGUGGCGAAGGCGGCCCCCUGGACAAAGACUGACGCUCAGGUGCGAAAGCGUGAGGAGCAAACAGGAUUAGAUACCCCCGUAGUC